rnacentral:rRNA from 1 species
UACGUAGGGGGCUAGCGUUGUCCGGAAUCAUUGGGCGUAAAGCGCGUGUAGGCGGCCCGGCAAGUCCGCUGUGAAAGUCGGGGGCUCAACCCUCGGAAGCCGGUGGAUACUGUCGGGCUCGAGUACGGAAGAGGCGAGUGGAAUUCCUGGUGUAGCGGUGAAAUGCGCAGAUAUCGGGAAGAACACCUAUGGCGAAGGCAGCUCUCUGGGACGGUACUGACGCUGAGACGCGAAAGCGUGGGGAGCAAACAGG